rnacentral:rRNA from 1 species
UGCGGAGGGAUCAUUACAAGUGACCCCGGUCUAACCACCGGGAUGUUCAUAACCCUUUGUUGUCCGACUCUGUUGCCUCCGGGGCGACCCUGCCUUCGGGCGGGGGCUCCGGGUGGACACUUCAAACUCUUGCGUAACUUUGCAGUCUGAGUAAACUUAAUUAAUAAAUUAAAACUUUUAACAACGGAUCUCUUGGUUCUGGCAUCGAUGAAGAACGCAGCGAAAUGCGAUAAGUAAUGUGAAUUGCAGAAUUCAGUGAAUCAUCGAAUCUUUGAACGCACAUUGCGCCCCCUGGUAUUCCGGGGGGCAUGCCUGUUCGAGCGUCAUUUCACCACUCAAGCCUCGCUUGGUAUUGGGCAACGCGGUCCGCCGCGUGCCUCAAAUCGACCGGCUGGGUCUUCUGUCCCCUAAGCGUUGUGGAAACUAUUCGCUAAAGGGUGUUCGGGAGGCUACGCCGUAAAACAACCCCAUUUCUAAGGUUGACCUCGGAUCAGGA